CCUACGGGGGGCUGCAGUGGGGAAUAUUGGACAAUGGGCGCAAGCCUGAUCCAGCAAUGCCGCGUGGGUGAAGAAGGCCUGCGGGUUGUAAAGCCCUUUAAGCGGGGAGGAAAGCCGGGGUGCAAAUAGCGCCUCGGGGUGACGUUACCCGCAGAAUAAGCACCGGCUAACUCCGUGCCAGCAGCCGCGGUAAUACGGGGGGUGCGAGCGUUAAUCGGAAUGACUGGGCGUAAAGCGUGCGUAGGCGGUGUAAUCAGUCAGCCGUGAAAGCCCCGGGCUUAACCUGGGAAUGGCGGUUGAGACGGUUAAACUAGAGUGGGCUAGAGGACUGUGGAACUCCCGGUGUAGCGGUGAAAUGCGUAGAGAUCGGGAAGAACACCGAUGGCGAAGGCAGCAGUCUGGGGCCACACUGACGCUGAGGCACGACGGCGUGGGGAGCAAACAGGAUUAGAUACCCCGGUAGUC
rnacentral:rRNA from 1 species